rnacentral:rRNA from 1 species
GAUGAACGCUGGCGGCGUGCCUAACACAUGCAAGUCGGACGUGAAAGGGCUUUCGGGCCUGAGUAAAGUGGCGCACGGGUGAGUAACGCGUGGGUAAUCUGCCUCUAAGUUGGGAAUAACUUACCGAAAGGUGGGCUAAUACCGAAUAAUAUUGCAUGACUGCGGUUGUGCAGCCAAAGAUGGCCUCUGCUUGCAUGCUAUCGCUGAGAGAUUAGCCCGCGUACCAUUAGCUAGUUGGUCGGGUAAUGGCCUACCAAGGCUACGAUGGUUAGCUGAUCUGAGAGGAUGAUCAGCCACACUGGAACUGAGACACGGUCCAGACUCCUACGGGAGGCAGCAGUGAGGAAUCUUGCGCAAUGGGGGAAACCCUGACGCAGCAACGCCGCGUGAGUGAGGAAGGCCUUCGGGUUGUAAAGCUCUUUCGGCCGGGAAGAAUCGCACAGGCUAAUACUCUGUGUGGAUGACGGUACCGGCAUAAGAAGCACCGGCUAACUACGUGCCAGCCGCCGCCGUAA